rnacentral:rRNA from 1 species
UUCGGUUGAAGCUCUUAGUGGCGAACGGGUGAGUAACGCGUUGGUGACCUGUCCCGAAGAGGGGGAUAACAGCUCGAAAGGGCUGCUAAUACCCCAUGAGGUCAUCCAGGUUAGAGGCUGGAUGAUCAAAGGAGCGAUCCGCUUCGGGAGGGGCCUGCGUCCCAUCAGCUAGUUGGUAAGGUAACGGCCUACCAAGGCGAGGACGGGUAGGGGACCUGAGAGGGUGACCCCCCACACUGGCACUGAAGCACGGGCCAGACACCUACGGGUGGCAGCAGUAGGGAAUAUUGCACAAUGGGCGAAAGCCUGAUGCAGCAACGCCGCGUGCGCGAUGAAGGCCUUCGGGUUGUAAAGCGCUUUUCGGGGAGAUGAGGAAGGACAGUAUCCCCGGAAUAAGGCUCGGCAAACUACGUGCCAGCAGCCGCGGUAAAACGUAGGAGCCAAGCGUUAUUCGAAUUUACUGGGCGUAAAGCGCGUGCAGGCGGUUCGGCAAGUUGGAUGUGAAAGCUCCUGGCUCAACUGGGAGAGGUCGUUCAAAACUGCCGGGCUAGAGGGCGACAGAGGGAGGUGGAAUUCCCGGUGUAGUGGUGAAAUGCGUAGAUAUCGGGAGGAACACCAGUGGCGAAGGCGGCCUCCUGGGUCGCACCUGACGCUCAGACGCGAAAGCUAGGGGAGCGAACGGGAUUAGAGACCCCGGUAGUCCUAGCUGUAAACGAUGUAGACUUGGUGUUGGUGGGGUAAAAGCCAUCAGUGCCGGAGCGAACGCGAUAAGUCUACCGCCUGGGGACUACGGCCGCAAGGUUAAAACUCAAAGGAAUUGACGGGGACCCGCACAAGCAGCGGAGCGUGUGGUUUAAUUCGAUGCUACGCGAAGAACCUUACCCGGGCUUGACAUACAGGUGGUAGGGAAGCGAAAGUGGACCGACCCUUCGGGGAGCCUGAACAGGUGCUGCAUGGCUGUCGUCAGCUCGUGUCGUGAGAUGUCCGG